UACGUAGGGUGCGAGCGUUGUCCGGAAUUAUUGGGCGUAAAGAGCUCGUAGGCGGCUUGUCACGUCGGAUGUGAAAUCCUGGGGCUUAACUCUGGGACUGCAUUCGAUACGGGCUAGCUAGAGUGUGGUAGGGGAGAUCGGAAUUCCUGGUGUAGCGGUGAAAUGCGCAGAUAUCAGGAGGAACACCGGUGGCGAAGGCGGAUCUCUGGGCCAUUACUGACGCUGAGGAGCGAAAGCGUGGGGAGCAAACAGG
rnacentral:rRNA from 1 species